AGGUGCGAUAUUGGCUCUUUUAGUGUCUUUAAUUGUAUUUCUAAUGCGCGCGGUAAAGCCUGCUUCGAGAGUAAGUGGGUAAUCCAUUGGAAGUAAUGAUUUCUCUUUAUUAUAGCACACCUAUNUACGGCAUUCAUUCCCGGGAUGACUAGUUUCGUCUUUUUUGUGCGAAUGUAAUGUAUUCUUUAUCCGUAUGUGCGAUUGUCAAUUCAUGGUGGGGACAGACCAUUGUUAAUUGUUGGUCUCGGUCUUAACUAGGAAUGCCUUGUACGGGUCUUUGGUUCAACAAACCACCCGGAAUACGUCCCUGCCCUUUGUACACACCGCCCGUCGCUCUNACCGAUGAACUUCUUUGUGAGUCUAAGGGACUGGGUUAAUAUUUAUUUUUAAUA
rnacentral:rRNA from 1 species